UACAGAGGUCUCAAGCGUUGUUCGGAUUCAUUGGGCGUAAGGGGUGCGUAGGUGGCGAGGCAAGUCAGAUGUGAAAUCCCGGGGCUCAACCCCGGAACUGCAUUUGAAACUGCCUUGCUCGAGUACUGGAGAGGAGACUGGAAUUUACGGUGUAGCAGUGAAAUGCGUAGAUAUCGUAAGGAAGACCAGUGGCGAAGGCGGGUCUCUGGACAGUUCCUGACACUGAGGCACGAAAGCCAGGGGAGCAAACGGG
rnacentral:rRNA from 1 species